rnacentral:misc_RNA from 1 species
GUGGCUUUUUACGAUGAAGGGUGGUUGAAAAAUCAAGGAGGAGAACGGCGGGCGAAUCGGGGAUUUCGAACUUGAAUGUGACAUUGUUUGGCAUGAGAAAAGCAUAGUAGACAUGAGAGAACAAGCUUGUGUCUAUGGCAGAAGGUGGAAAUGUUUCAGACCAUGAAGGCCAAUAAGCACCUUUGACUGCCGGCGGCGACGCCAUGAUGCAUCCUGAUCCGGUGGUGAUGGUCAAGAGGACAAUGAUUGAAAG